GUGGGGAAUAUUGGACAAUGGGCGGAACCCUGAUCCAGCCAUGCCGCGUGUGUGAAGAAGGCCUUUUGGUUGUAAAGCACUUUAAGCGAGGAGGAGGCUUCCCUGGUUAAUACCUGGGAUAAGUGGACGUUACUCGCAGAAUAAGCACCGGCUAACUCUGUGCCAGCAGCCGCGGUAAUACAGAGGGUGCAAGCGUUAAUCGGAUUUACUGGGCGUAAAGCGCGCGUAGGUGGCUAAUUAAGUCAAAUGUGAAAUCCCCGAGCUUAACUUGGGAAUUGCAUUCGAUACUGGUAGGCUAGAGUAUGGGAGAGGAUGGUAGAAUUCCAGGUGUAGCGGUGAAAUGCGUAGAGAUCUGGAGGAAUACCGAUGGCGAAGGCAGCCAUCUGGCCUAAUACUGACACUGAGGUGCGAAAGCAUGGGGAGCAAACAGGAUUAGAAACCCCUGUAGUCC
rnacentral:rRNA from 1 species